GGAGAGAUGGCUGAGUGGUCGAAAGCGGCGGUCUCGAAAACCGUUUUGCCGCGCAAGCGGUAACUGGGGUUCGAAUCCCCAUCUCUCCGCCA
rnacentral:tRNA from 1 species